CGACCGGCGCACGGGUGAGUAACGCGUAUGCAACCUGCCCGAUACCGGGGUAUAGCCCAUGGAAACGUGGAUUAACACCCCAUAGUGCUUUUAUCCUGCAUGGGAUGUGAGUUAAAUGUUCAAGGUAUCGGAUGGGCAUGCGUCCUAUUAGUUAGUUGGCGGGGUAACAGCCCACCAAGACGAUGAUAGGUAGGGGUUCUGAGAGGAAGGUCCCCCACAUUGGAACUGAGACACGGUCCAA
rnacentral:rRNA from 1 species